rnacentral:rRNA from 1 species
UACGUAGGGUGCGAGCGUUGUCCGGAAUUACUGGGCGUAAAGAGCUCGUAGGUGGUUUGUCGCGUUGUUCGUGAAAACUCACAGCUCAACUGUGGGCGUGCGGGCGAUACGGGCAGACUAGAGUACUGCAGGGGAGACUGGAAUUCCUGGUGUAGCGGUGAAAUGCGCAGAUAUCAGGAGGAACACCGGUGGCGAAGGCGGGUCUCUGGGCCGAUACUGACGCUGAGGAGCGAAAGCGUGGGGAGCAAACAGG